GCUUAGUCGUAAACUUAAAUAGUCCUAAAACAAGACUAUUCGCCAGAGUACUAUCGGCAACAGCCCAAAACUCAAAGGACUUGGCGGUGCUUCAUAUCCUUCUAGAGGAGCCUGUUCUGUAAACGAUAAACCACGAUUAACCUCACCAAUCCUUGCUACUUCAGUCUAUAUACCGCCAUCUUCAGCAAACCCUAAAAAAGGAACGAAAGUAAGCACAACCACUGCACGUAAAAACGUUAGGUCAAGGUGUAACCUAUGGAUUGGGAAGAAAUGGGCUACAUUUUCUAUAAUAAGAACACCCAAUAAACUUACACGAAAGUUUUUAUGAAACCUAAAAACUAAAGGAGGAUUUAGCAGUAAAUUAAGAAUAGAAUGCUUAAUUGAAUAAGGCCAUGAAGCACGC
rnacentral:rRNA from 1 species